rnacentral:lncRNA from 1 species
CCACCUAGAUAUUUGUAGUGCCUAAUUAUGGAUUUCUAAUAUAUUCUUUGUGAGUAAUUUUUUAUUUCAAUUAUUUUUCUGUUUUUAUUAAUUUUAAAUGCUGAAUAUUUUGUUGUAUUCACAGAUUAUAAAUGGCUCCCAAAAAAACAUUGCUUAAUAAGAAACGAUUUAAACGAAGUUCUGUCGACAAUGAAGAACCUACUUCAAGUCAAGCUCCGACUCC